CUUGCUCCUUUGAAGUUAGCGGCGGACGGGUGAGUAACACGUGGGUAACCUACCUAUAAGACUGGAAUAACUUCGGGAAACCGGAGCUAAUGCCGGAUAACAUUUGGAACCGCAUGGUUCUAAAGUAAAAGAUGGUUUUGCUAUCACUUAUAGAUGGACCCGCGCCGUAUUAGCUAGUUGGUAAGGUAACGGCUUACCAAGGCAACGAUACGUAGCCGACCUGAGAGGGUGAUCGGCCACACUGGAACUGAGACACGGUCCAGACUCCUACGGGAGGCAGCAGUAGGGAAUCUUCCGCAAUGGACGAAAGUCUGACGGAGCAACGCCGCGUGAGUGAUGAAGGUUUUCGGAUCGUAAAACUCUGUUAUUAGGGAAGAACAAAUGUGUAAGUAACUGUGCACAUCUUGACGGUACCUAAUCAGAAAGCCACGGCUAACUACGUGCCAGCAGCCGCGGUAAUACGUAGGUGGCAAGCGUUAUCCGGAAUUAUUGGGCGUAAAGCGCGCGUAGGCGGUUUCUUAAGUCUGAUGUGAAAGCCCACGGCUCAACCGUGGAGGGUCAUUGGAAACUGGGAAACUUGAGUACAGAAGAGGAAAGUGGAAUUCCAUGUGUAGCGGUGAAAUGCGCAGAGAUAUGGAGGAACACCAGUGGCG
rnacentral:rRNA from 1 species